rnacentral:rRNA from 1 species
GACGGGGGAUGCGAGCGUUAUCCGGAAUGAUUGGGCGUAAAGGGUCCGCAGGUGGCCCGGUCAGUCCGCUGUCAAAGCCUGGGGCUCAACCCUGGAGAGGCGGCGGAGACCACCGGGCUUGAGUCCGGUAGGGGCAGAGGGAAUUUCCGGUGGAGCGGUGAAAUGCGUAGAGAUCGGAAAGAACACCAACGGCGAAAGCACUCUGCUGGGCCGACACUGACACUGAGAGACGAAAGCUAGGGGAGCGAAUGGG